CCAGGGGGCCGGGCGACCGCGGCGUAGCAAUACGGCGAGGAAAGUCCGGGCUCCACGAAAAGACGGUGCCAGUUAACGGCUGGCGGAGGCAACUCCAGGGACAGUGCAACAGAGAGCAGGUCGCUAAGGCUUCGGCCCAGUGACAGUGAAAGGGUGCGGUAAGAGCGCACCGCGUCCCCGGCAACGGGCGACGGCAUGGUAAACCCCACCGGGAGCAAGACCGAAUAGGGGCGACGCGGGAGCAAUCCCAGGGCUUUUUCGGCCCCGAUCGCCCGGGUUGGUUGCUUGAGGCCAUGAGCGAUCAUGGCCCUAGAGGAAUGGUCGCCCAUUCGUCGCAAGACGAAGGACAGAACCCGGCUUAUAGGCCCCCUGGCGCU
rnacentral:RNase_P_RNA from 1 species